rnacentral:rRNA from 1 species
CUACGGGAGGCAGCAGUGGGGAAUAUUGGACAAUGGGCGCAAGCCUGAUCCAGCAAUACCGCGUGUGUGAAGAAGGCCUUAGGGUUGUAAAGCACUUUCAAUUGGGAGGAAUACCUAUUCGCUAAUACCGGAUAGAUUGACAUUACCUUUAGAAGAAGCACCGGCUAACUCCGUGCCAGCAGCCGCGGUAAUACGGAGGGUGCAAGCGUUAAUCGGAAUUACUGGGCGUAAAGCGUGCGUAGGUGGUUGUUUAAGUCAGAUGUGAAAGCCCCGGGCUCAACCUGGGAAUGGCAUUUGAUACUGGAUAACUCGAGUUUGGGAGAGGCAAGUGGAAUUUCAGGUGUAGCGGUGAAAUGCGUAGAGAUCUGAAGGAACACCAGUGGCGAAGGCGGCUUGCUGGCCUAAAACUGACGCUGAGGCACGAAAGCAUGGGUAGCAAACAGGAUUAGAUACCCCGGUAGG